GCCAUGCCGCGUGCAGGAAGACUGCCCUAUGGGUUGUAAACUGCUUUUAUACAGGAAGAAACCUAUCUACGUGUAGAUAGCUGACGGUACUGUAAGAAUAAGCACCGGCUAACUCCGUGCCAGCAGCCGCGGUAAUACGGAGGGUGCARGCGUUAUCCGGAAUCAUUGGGUUUAAAGGGUCCGCAGGCGGUCAAUUAAGUCAGAGGUGAAAUCCCAUAGCUUAACUAUGGAACUGCCUUUGAUACUGGUUGACUUGAGUUAUACGGAAGUAGAUAGAAUAAGUAGUGUAGCGGUGAAAUGCAUAGAUAUUACUUAGAAUACCGAUUGCGAAGGCAGUCUACUACGUAUAUACUGACGCUCAUGGACGAAAGCGUGGGGAGCGAACAGGAUUAGAUACCCUGGUAGUCCACGCCGUAAACGAUGGACACUAGUUGUUGGAAUUAUUCAGUGACUAANCGAAAGUGAUAAGUGUCCCACCUGGGGAGUACRAUCGCAAGAUUGAAACUCAAAUGAAUUGACGG
rnacentral:rRNA from 1 species